rnacentral:rRNA from 1 species
GCAUAUCAAUAAGCGGAGGAAAAAGAAACCAACAGGGAUUGCCCUAGUAACGGCGAGUGAAGCGGCAACAGCUCAAAAUUUGAAAUCUGGCUCUCGGGCCCGAGUUGUAAUUUGUAGAGGAUGCUUUUGAUGCGGUGCCUUCCGAGUUCCCUGGAACGGGACGCCAUAGAGGGUGAGAGCCCCGUCUGGUUGGAUGCCAAAUCUCUGUAAAGCUCCUUCGACGAGUCGAGUAGUUUGGGAAUGCUGCUCUAAAUGGGAGGUAUAUGUCUUCUAAAGCUAAAUAUUGGCCAGAGACCGAUAGCGCACAAGUAGAGUGAUCGAAAGAUGAAAAGCACUUUGAAAAGAGAGUUAAAAAGUACGUGAAAUUGUUGAAAGGGAAGCGUUUAUGACCAGACUUGGGCUUGGUUAAUCAUCUGGGGUUUCUCCCCAGUGCACUUUUCCAGUCCAGGCCAGCAUCAGUUUUCGCCGGGGGAUAAAGGCUUCGGGAAUGUGGCUCCCUCCGGGGAGUGUUAUAGCCCGUUGCGUAAUACCCUGGCGGGGACUGAGGUUCGCGCAUCUGCAAGGAUGCUGGCGUAAUGGUCAUCAACGACCCGUCUUGAAACACGGACCAAGGAGUCGUCUUCGUAUGCGAGUGUUCGGGUGUCAAACCCCUACGCGUAAUGAAAGUGAACGCAGGUGAGAGCUUCGGCGCAUCAUCGACCGAUCCUGAUGUUCUCGGAUGGAUUUGAGUAAGAGCAUACGGGGCCGGACCCGAAAGAAGGUGAACUAUGCCUGUGUAGGGUGAAGCCAGAGGAAACUCUGGUGGAGGCUCGCAGCGGUUCUGACGUGCAAAUCGAUCGUCAAACAUGGGCAUGGGGGCGAAAGACUAAUCGAACCUUCUAGUAGCUGGUUUCCGCGA